GGCAAUUGGGUUAAGUGACUUGCCCAAGAUCACACAGCUGGAGCCUAUACAAGAAGUGAAGAUGGUGUGAAUUUACCUCUACAGAUCUAGUGAUCAACAGCUGUAUCUUCUUGGCAUUAUCUCUGAUAAGGAGAAGCACUUUUGCCUUUGCUAUUUCAUUUUCAUUACCACUGUGGCUGGGGAGGGGAUUAGUCCAGGGUAAUACCUCUUGGAUUUAUUGUUCUCCCAGAGAACUGGCCAUCUUCUCCUAAACAACUAACUUUUUGUUUUUGAUUAAUACACACAUAUACACUCCACAAUUUGUAUACGUGCAUAAUGUAUUUAUGCAUAUAUAUGUAUGUAUACACAAAAACAUAUAUACACAUAUGUUUAUGCAUGUGUGUAUGUGUGUGUAUCUAAAAAGGCAGAAGAACCACCACAGUGGCACAUUAUCAUCAUUGCCCUGGAUUUACGAUUGACUCAUGCAGGAGAUAGAAAUGAUCCUAAAGAGAAAAAAUAAAGGGAAGGAAGAUGGACUAGACCAAGAGUAAACAGAGGAGGUCUAUGCUGAUGCUGACACAAUUUUCCUAGCAUUGAGGGAUGAAUUCUCAGGGUAUCUGAAGGAGGGGAAAAUAUCAAAGUGUAAGAAGAAUUUCAGAUCUUAUUAUUGCUAGAAAGGUGGCCUAGAGAUCAUUAAUAACUAUUGACCUACUGCAUAUGAUUAUUUUCCUUAAUAUCUGUAUUUAAAUAUUUAUGAGAAGAAUAUGCAUGUAUUGAGUGGUUACUUGAUUAGGUUAUCAGAAUAAAAUUCAGACUUUCAUAAAUAAUAA